rnacentral:sRNA from 1 species
AGACUUUGAUGGAUCUUCUCCCAAUACC